GGUGCGUUCACUUGCUGCUCACCAGGGUCUCACCUGCAUUUUCUACAUGCAUCUCCUGGCUUUUGAGUCCAUAAUUUCACUUUCUUCCUUCUGAAACGGGCUGAUAGAAAAGCUGGGGCUAUUUUGCUGCUGUGUUUGCUGAUCAGCUGGUGAGAAGUGCAGAUGAUGGACAGUAUUCAGAAUUCAUUAAUAGAUCCAGGGGAAAGGAAAAAAAAAAAGAAGAAAGAAAAGGAGUAACAAAAAGAAAAAGAAAAA